rnacentral:rRNA from 1 species
UACGUAGGGGGCAAGCGUUGUCCGGAAUCAUUGGGCGUAAAGAGCGCGUAGGCGGUCCGGUAAGUCAGCUGUGAAAGUCAAGGGCUCAACCCUUGAAAGCCGGUUGAUACUGUCGGGCUAGAGUCCGGAAGAGGCGAGUGGAAUUCCCGGUGUAGCGGUGAAAUGCGCAGAUAUCGGGAGGAACACCAGUGGCGAAGGCGGCACUCUGGGCCGGUACUGACGCUGAGGAGCGAAAGCGUGGGGAGCGAACAGG